CAGAUGUAUUCUCUGGACCAUAAAGAAGUUUUUGCACACAACAGAACUGAAAUUAUGGCAUUCAUUCUCAUUGAAAACCAACACAUCUGCAUAGCGCUGUUGUUGGCUGUAAAGAACAGAAGAGGGUAAAGAGUAGUAAGAAUCCUUGUUGUAGAGCUCAGUUCCUGCCUCCCUGAACAUGAACACAUGACCAAGUGAUUACAAAACUGAAGUUAUGGUACCUGGGAAAAUUCCUCUUGUACUUCCUUAGAGGCUUCUGUGGACAGACUUGCAGUUUCUUUGCUGCUUUGAGACCUGUAAAUAUGAAGACACAGAUGGACUACUGAACAUCAAUGCCUCAUACAUCUCUGGAUAUACAUGUAAUUCAGGAACAUGAAUAUAAAUUUUCAGAUUAUAC